UGUUGAGUCACUCUUUGAUUUCUUUUGCUUCGUGUCCACUUCGUGCAUUACUUGUUGUGUGAUUCUGUCUAGAAGCCUGCCUUCAAGUGUAGCCGUGUUUUGUUCGUUGCAUAUUCUGUUUAAAUAUCAAAAAAAAAAAAAAAAAUUCGCGACGGCUAGGGUUUUCACUUGCAACUAGGGUUUCCUUGGGUGCAAGUUUCUUGCCAAAUCUGUCCAAACUUUAGUUUAUUCCACCAAGUUGUUUUCAUUAAUUUCCUAAACUGAUUUUUGUGGUUAAACUUGUUUGGGGUUGGAAUCUUGAAGAGGAACUACAAUAAUCUAGGGAUUCUUGAGUUUCUUGAAACUAAUCUUGAAGUCUCAAAAUCUUGAUACAUGUUUUGAUAGUUAUUGGAGGAUUGAAGGAGAACAUUGGUUUGACAUUAAAUUCUGGAAUUUUACCCAAGAACAGCCGAGUAAUUGUGUGUUCUUAGAGUCAAAAAAAAAAAAACAGAAAAAAAGAAAAAGAGAAAGGGCACUCGGGUAGCAAACAACAAAGAAGGAAGCCGCACUUUUAUUUGCCAAAUUCUGUCUUGUUGCAAUUGUUUCAACAAACCAGAAAAUUACAUCAAGAAAAAGACUACUCAAAAGUUUUGACCAACCUCCUCUUGAAAAUCUUGCACACCUUGAGCCUUGAUCACUUGUAUCACCCGUUGAGUCUUUUGAGGAUCUUGACCAUCUUGAUUCUUGAAGAUUUGCACUUCCCUACGUAUAAACAGUUUCUUGUACGUCCUUGCAUCCAUACGGGGCUUUCUUGGCUUAGGAGUAAACCUCUUGGAGUUUCUUGAGCAGGCCGCUUGGGGUAUUCUUGGGUGACGUUGCUUGUGUCAUCUUGUGAAGCCAUUGUUAGCACCAAGCGUCAAAACUGUCCUUGUGUGGAGCAAAGAGGGGAGGGCCGAAUUGUUGUUCUUGAGGGAGAGUAAGGGACGAAAAUUUUGAGGGGAUUUAAGAAGAGGUAAUUCUGGAAAAUUUUGGGGUUAGGAAGCUACCAAAUCUGGAAAAUUUUUUAGGAAAUUCCAGCCGACUUUGAGGGGAAUUUAAGAAGACAAGAAAUCUGGAAUUUUUUUCGUGGAAGCUAUUCUGAUUUGAUAAGGUAACAAAUCUGGAAAUUUUCAGCGGUUAGGAAGCUACCAAAUUCUGUUUUGCAGCCGACUUUGGAAGGUUUAAAAGGAGCAGAAAUCUGGAAAUUUUUUUAGCUACCAAAUUCUGUUUUGCAGCCGACUUUGGGAGGUUUCAAAAGAGAAGGAAAUCUGGAAUUUUUUUUGGGAACAAUUCUGAUUUGUUAUAGCGACUUUAGGAAGGUUUUUGGAGAGGGAAUCUGGAAAAAUUUUGGAAGGUUUUUGGAGAGGGAAUCUGGAAAAAUUUUGGUAAUAAUUCUGUUUGGUUAGCCGACUUUAAGGAAAUUUCCAAAUAAGUCCAACACCUAACUUGUUUCCAAAAAUCAAUUGGGCAAUUAAGUAAAGCACUUGGGAACUCCAUCAUCGUACUUGGACUUUCUUUUUCUUUGUACAUCAAUUCUUUCCUCUUCCAUUCCUUAUUCAUUACUUGAGCUUUCCAUUUCUACUUUUUGUUUCCUUGUUCCUUUGAUACAAUUGGGAGCUAUUUUGAUUAAAGUUUGAUUGAACUUCCUUGAGAAAAUUUCUGAUUUCUUCAAAGGAAACAAACAAGUGGUUUGAGAAGUGAAUUGGUGAGAGCAUUAGAGUGCCAUACACACUUGAGUGAAAACACGAGAGGAGUGAAACACUUAAGGGAGCAAGUGAGGCAUUUUCUACUAACAAUUUGUCAAGUUUUGCAGGUUUCACCAUGUCUCAGGAACAUGAAAUUACCAUUGCUCAGUUAUCACUUAAAAUGGAUAAUAUGUGGAAGGAAAUGCAGAGGAGAUUUGACCAAAGGUUGGAAACAAUCCAUGAGCAAAUUGAUCAACUAAGUUCGUCUAGGGCUUCUUCUAGGAAAUCUAGGGGAAAAUCACCCUGGGGGAAUCUAGUGACUCCAAUGCCGAUUCGGAACAUGAGGCAUACGAGCAAAGAAGACCAAAGCGAAACACAAGAGCAAUCGGUGAUGCCAUCAAGGGGAUUAAGAUGAAGAUUCCUCCUUUCCAAGGCAAAUCUGAUCCGGAUACAUACCUUGAAUGGGAAAGUCGAGUGGAGCUAGUAUUCGAUUGUAAUGACUACACCGAUGCACAAAAAUUGAGACUUGCCGUAGUAGAAUUCACCGACUAUGCCAUAGUUUGGUGGGAACAAGUGGUUACAAGCAGGAGAAGGUGUGGAGAACCACCUAUAACCACUUGGACUGAGCUCAAGAGACUGAUGAAGAAGCGAUUUGUACCAAGUCACUACCAUAGAGACUUGUACCAAAAACUUCAAACCUUGACACAAGGUCAACGCUCAGUUGAGGACUACUACAAGGACAUGGAAAUCUCCAUGUUGAGAGCUGAUAUUCAAGAAGAUAGAGAGGCUACAAUGGCAAGAUUUCUCAAUGGUCUGAGGGUCGAAAUAGCCGAUCAACUGGAGCUUCAAUACUAUGUGGAGAUAGAAGAUAUGGUGGAGAAGGCUAUCAAGAUUGAGCAAAGGCUCAAGAGGAGGGGUACAACCAGAAAUUCUAACCCUCAUCCACAAACAUUUACUCGACCAUUCCAGCCUAGCAGGGAAGAGAGAGGUUCGAAUACUUGGACCACUCCAAAGCCGAAGCAAGAUCAAGGGUCAAGCUCACGGCCACCUUUUACUAAAGCCGACUCCAAGGUUGUUUCAAAACCAACAAUUGAAACUUCAAAACCUAGGAAUCGUGACACCAAAUGUUGGAGGUGUCAAGGAAUUGGGCACAUUGCAAGCCAAUGUCCAAAUCCAAGAACCAUGCUUGUGCUACCAAAUGGAGACAUUGUCACUGAUGAUGAAGAGGAGGAGUACAAAGACAUGCCUUCCUUGGUUGAUAAGGAUUAAAGCAAACACCGGCCAACAACAAAUUGCAGCGAAAAAUAGGGAAAAAAACCAUACGAAGCAAAACGCACCAGUAAAAGAAGCUCGGCGAGACCGGAAAAUAGCACUAAGAAGACGUAACCAAGUUCGCAACCAAGCUGGCCAGAGAAGGCGGUGAGAGGAAGGAGCUCAUAAAGGGGAGCCGGUUCAAGGGCACAACCAAUUUGAGAAAAUCGAAAUGAGAAAGCAGAUGAGAAAACCCUAGGAAAAAGGGGCACAGCCAACCCGUCUUGGAACUCGGACGCCAGCGGAAGAGACAGCCAUGAUAUAUCACGCCAAUUACCAUUCUUGAGAAAGGUCUGCUGUUACCUCCGGACAAUGCAGCUGGGAGAGUCGGGAAAGGAAAGAAACUGGUACGGCAUCCAUUCCAAAGCAGAAAACUCAUGGGCAGCCCAAUUACCCGAAUCAUUUCAAUGGAGCAUCUGGAGAAGCG
rnacentral:lncRNA from 1 species